AUGUUAGCGGCGGACGGGUGAGUAACACGUGGAUAACCUACCUAUAAGACUGGGAUAACUUCGGGAAACCGGAGCUAAUACCGGAUAAUAUUUUGAACCGCAUGGUUCAAAAGUGAAAGACGGUCUUGCUGUCACUUAUAGAUGGAUCCGCGCUGCAUUAGCUAGUUGGUAAGGUAACGGCUUACCAAGGCAACGAUGCAUAGCCGACCUGAGAGGGUGAUCGGCCACACUGGAACUGAGACACGGUCCAGACUCCUACGGGAGGCAGCAGUAGGGAAUCUUCCGCAAUGGGCGAAAGCCUGACGGAGCAACGCCGCGUGAGUGAUGAAGGUCUUCGGAUCGUAAAACUCUGUUAUUAGGGAAGAACAUAUGUGUAAGUAACUGUGCACAUCUUGACGGUACCUAAUCAGAAAGCCACGGCUAACUACGUGCCAGCAGCCGCGGUAAUACGUAGGUGGCAAGCGUUAUCCGGAAUUAUUGGGCGUAAAGCGCGCGUAGGCGGUUUUUUAAGUCUGAUGUGAAAGCCCACGGCUCAACCGUGGAGGGUCAUUGGAAACUGGAAAACUUGAGUGCAGAAGAGGAAAGUGGAAUUCCAUGUGUAGCGGUGAAAUGCGCAGAGAUAUGGAGGAACACCAGUGGCGAAGGCGACUUUCUGGUCUGUAACUGACGCUGAUGUGCGAAAGCGUGGGGAUCAAACAGGAUUAGAUACCCUGGUAGUCCACGCCGUAAACGAUGAGUGCUAAGUGUUAGGGGGUUUCCGCCCCUUAGUGCUGCAGCUAACGCAUUAAGCACUCCGCCUGGGGAGUACGACCGCAAGGUUGAAACUCAAAGGAAUUGACGGGGACCCGCACAAGCGGUGGAGCAUGUGGUUUAAUUCGAAGCAACGCGAAGAACCUUACCAAAUCUUGACAUCCUUUGACAACUCUAGAGAUAGAGCCUUCCCCUUCGGGGGACAAAGUGACAGGUGGUGCAUGGUUGUCGUCAGCUCGUGUCGUGAGAUGUUGGGUUAAGUCCCGCAACGAGCGCAACCCUUAAGCUUAGUUGCCAUCAUUAAGUUGGGCACUCUAA
rnacentral:rRNA from 1 species